CAGACACGACCGUCGACUUUCUCCUCACCGGUACCCACAAGUCCGGUUCGUACUAUGUAAUCCGUAGUUCUUUCAAAACUUCACGAGAUAGUCUUAUCCGAUAUCUACACGGAGACUUGUGACCCGAGAGAAGUCAGAUCGGGAUGACGAGAUGGACGACAUGUCUAGAAGUGGCCCAGAGAAGCGAAAGUAAGAUAGGAGCAGGGGACAUUAAUAUACACGGUGGGAAGAAGAACCGUAUGACGAUUCAAUGCCCUCGUGUGUAGAAGGACUCAGGCAACUUCUGGCCUUCUGACCGUGUCUAACGAGACGAGGGUUCAAACCUACAAAAAGGUCUUUACGAGUAAAACUUCGUGUUGUCCCUAAAAGACACGGACGUCAAUUCCUCUUGUUUCAACCGAAGUUUACAACCCUUAAGUCUUUGGGUUCAAAACCGUUCCUCUCCCUACUCUUACAAGGAGAAAACUUCCCUAGUCAGCUAGUUCCUCUACUCUCUCAAAUACGUGUACUAUCUGAGCGACUCCACAAGUGAAGAUAAGGAAGACACCACUGUGACGUCGUUCUCCAACCAAACCUCCUUAAGUACUUCUGAUUUGUACUUGCCCUCAGGUUUCUAGGUAAAACGUCGUUACUAUUCUCAUGACUCAUACGAUCGAACAAACUCCUACGACUGGUUUUUUCUCAACUACUCUUCCUCCGUUGUAAACCUAAUACGGGAAGGUCAUCCUUACUACCCCUUUUACCACUUCGUCACCGUUUCCUUUUAGUUCUAUCUCACCAUUGUCUAAGUGUUUCACUAUUACACUCUCUCCGAAGUCUUCUACUUGGUCGAUUUUUUGUCCGGCCAUGAACGUUUACCCCGGCACGAAAAAGGCAGGCAGUCUCCUUCUUCGAACUACCGUAUUUCUAACUCCGAUAGUUACAACUAAAGUCGUCGGUUUAUCUGAGACGAGAUCAAAGUGGUACACGUUGUCAAUCGCUGGUACUACAAAGCAGGCCAAAACUAAGACCAUUCGGCCUCUCAAGGAGAAGACUAUAGUGAUACCAACUACAACGAGGUUACGAGCUACUAUAACUAGGAGGAAAUCCGUUACUACUAAGAAAAUUCGAUCUCUCAAGGAGAACACAAUAGUGAUACCGACUACAACGAGGUCACGAACUACUCUAACUAGGAGGAAAUACGUUACUUAAGGGCUCGGGACUAGGGUAACCGUUACUACUAAGACCGACGCCAAGGUUAAAGACGACAGUCCUAAGACUUUACCUGUCACCAUUGUUGUUGUUCCGACUGUGAUCAUUUCGACCUUUACUACGGUUCCUGCCUCUCCACUUGUUCCUACUACCACCCUUGGUUGGACUUAAAGAACCCUGUCGUCUGCUUCUAUUCUUACGGUACCUAGAACCCAUGAGACUCCACCUUUCCUCAGCAUCUAACCUCAAGUACUACCGAUUCUCUUCUAGUUCCUUCUUGUAUUAUAAACUAGAACUACCUUUACUACGAACAGUCUCACGUCUAUCUAAAAGUGCAAAGGCAUACGUUCAAGUCGGAUAAAGUCAUAGUUCCUCUUCGGGAAAACUGGAACGAAGACUAGGACUGCUCCGUCGGUAAGGACCGAGCCGAGGCAGUUAGUACGUAGCCGCUUUAUUGGACAAACUUGGGGGAAGACCUGUUAGUCUACUAUCGUCACAUAGACGUGUACUAUUGAACCUGAGAGUUCUUUAGUAUUGUCCGAGGGCGGCUCUGUACUAGAAGUUCUCUGUACUAUGGAAGUUGAAACCGCCGGUUCUCUCUGUUGCAAGAUCUAAAUUCGGUACAAAGCACGACCUACGUUACCUAUAAGUCCUUCUCUACCCGUAAAAGGUUUCCGUCAAGUCACUGUUCUCACACAGUUUUGAUUCACGACAUAGACUUACACUAUGGGAAAGAAGCCAACGACUAGUUCUCCUUUCGUUCUUGGAGCAGUUUUUCCUAAAGGUCUCCACCAAGUCACUGUUCUCGUACAGUUCUGACUCGCAACAAAGACUCAGACUGUGGGAAAGAAACCGGCGGCUAGUUCUCCUUACGUUGCUGGAGUAGUUUUUCCUAAAGGUCUCCACCAAGUCACUGUUCUCGUACAGCUCUGACUCGCAACAAAGACCUAGACUGCGGGAGAGAAACCAGCGACUAGUUCUCCUUGCGUCGCUGAAGUUAUUCCUGAAGGAGACCAUAAAGGUCUCCGUCAAGUCACUGUUCUCGUACAGCUUUCAUUGGUAACAAAGACUUAGGCUACGGGAAAGAAACCAGCGGCUAGUCCUCCUUGCGCGGCUGAAGUUAUUCCUAAAGGAAACCAUGAAGGUCUCCGUCAAGUCGCUGUUCUCGCACAGCUUCGUCUCGCAGCAAUGACUUAGACUAUAGUAAAGCAGCCAGCGGCUAGUUCUCCUGGCGUCGCUGGAGCAGCUCUUCCUACAGGAAAACCCCCUGUGCAGCGGCCUCGACGGUUCCGUCCUUUCACUAGAACCUUCACGACCUUCCCUUUACGGGCCUGUGCCAACUAAAACGCCCACUACUUUGAGACUUACGACGACAGUGGUCACCCUACCUCAGAGACUUAGAAGACUAGUUCACUAUGGCUUCGUGUCUCAAAAGGGACAUGUAAAACACUUACAUUAACCUAUCUUUGUACCGUGACAAGGACAACGGUAAGACACUUGUAUCCGGAACACUUCAAGGUCUUUUUACUUUUCUCUUUCUUAUAUAAAAACACACAUACAAUGUCCAAUAAGG
rnacentral:rRNA from 1 species